rnacentral:tRNA from 1 species
GCAGUGGUGGUUCAGUGGUAGGAUUCUUGCCUUCCGUGCAGGAGACCUGAGUUCGAUACUUAGCCACGGCA